rnacentral:rRNA from 1 species
CCUACGGUGUGCAGCAGUAGGGAAUAUUGCUCAAUGGGGGAAACCCUGAAGCAGCAACGCCGCGUGGAGGAUGAAGGUUUUAGGAUUGUAAACUCCUUUUGUUAGAGAAGAUUAUGACGGUAUCUAACGAAUAAGCACCGGCUAACUCCGUGCCAGCCGCCGCGGUAAUACGGAGGGUGCAAGCGUUACUCGGAAUUACUGGGCGUAAAGAGUGCGUAGGCGGGGUAAUAAGUCAGAUGUGAAAUUCUGUAGCUUAAAUUAAGAACUGCAUUUGAAACUGUUGCUCUAGAGUGUGGGAGAGGUAGGUGGAAUUCGUGGUGUAGGGGUAAAAUCCGUAGAGAUCAAGAGGAAUACUCAUUGCGAAGGCGGCCUGCUGGAACAUUACUGACGCUGAUGCACGAAAGCGUGGGGAGCAAACAGGAUUAGAUACCCGAGUAGUC